CCUACGGGUGGCAGCAGUGAGGAAUAUUGGACAAUGGUCGGAAGACUGAUCCAGCCAUGCCGCGUGCAGGAAGACGGCCUUAUGGGUUGUAAACUGCUUUUGCAGGGGAAGAAUAAGGACUACGUGUAGUUUGAUGACGGUACUCUGCGAAUAAGCAUCGGCUAACUCCGUGCCAGCAGCCGCGGUAAUACGGAGGAUGCGAGCGUUAUCCGGAAUCAUUGGGUUUAAAGGGUCCGUAGGCGGGCUAAUAAGUCAGAGGUGAAAGCGCUCAGCUCAACUGAGCAACUGCCUUUGAAACUGUUAGUCUUGAAUGGUUGUGAAGUAGUUGGAAUGUGUAGUGUAGCGGUGAAAUGCUUAGAUAUUACACAGAACACCGAUAGCGAAGGCAUAUUACUAACAAUUAAUUGACGCUGAUGGACGAAAGCGUGGGGAGCGAACAGGAUUAGAUACCCGUGUAGUC
rnacentral:rRNA from 1 species